GUCAACAUCAACAUCAAGUUUCAUCAGUAAUUCCAGUAUUUUCAAACAAUUCCAACAAUCAAUUAGUGUCAAUUCAACAACAACGUCAACAACAACCGCAACAAAGAACCAACAACAACAACAACAACAAUAAUCAACAACAAAACUUCGAGAGGAAGAAGGUCUCUUUUGAUCCUAUUCCUAUGUCAUACGCUGAACUCUACCCAUCU
rnacentral:lncRNA from 1 species